AGAGCGAACGCUGGCGGCAGGCUUAACACAUGCAAGUCGAGCGCCCCGCAAGGGGAGCGGCAGACGGGUGAGUAACACGUGGGAACGUGCCUUUUGGUUCGGAACAACACAGGGAAACUUGUGCUAAUACCGGAUAAGCCCUUACGGGGAAAGAUUUAUCGCCAAAAGAUCGGCCCGCGUCUGAUUAGCUAGUUGGUGGGGUAAUGGCCCACCAAGGCGACGAUCAGUAGCUGGUCUGAGAGGAUGAUCAGCCACAUUGGGACUGAGACACGGCCCAAACUCCUACGGGAGGCAGCAGUGGGGAAUAUUGGACAAAUGGGCGCAAGCCUGAUCCAGCCAUGCCGCGUGAGUGAUGAAGGCCCUAGGGUGUAAAGCUCUUUCGACGGGAAGAUAAUGACGGUACCCGUAGAAGAAGCCCCGGAUAACUUCGCGCCAGCAGCCGC
rnacentral:rRNA from 1 species